ACCGAGCAACCAGGAGGCGCUGGUGCAGCCAUCCCUAGAGGCCCUGGGCGCUGGAGCAGGUAGACCCCCAGGCGCUGGAGCAGGUAGACCCUCGGGCGCUGGAGCAGGUAGACCCCCCAGCGCUGGAGCAGGUAGACCCCCGGGCGCUGGAGCAGGUAGACCCCCCAGGCACUGGAGCAGGUAGACUCCCUGGCGCUGGAGCAGGUAGACCCCCGGGCGCUGGAGCAGGGAGACCCCCGGGCGCUGGAGCAGGUAGACCCCCCAGGCACUGGAGCAGGUAGACCCCCGGGCGCUGGAGCAGGUAGACCCCCCGGGCGCUGGAGCAGGUAGACCCCCCGGGCACUGGAGCAGGUAGACCCCCGGGCGCUGGAGCAGGUAGACCCCCCGGGCACUGGAGCAGGUAGACCCCCGGGCACUGGAGCAGGUAGACCCCCGGGCGCUGGAGCAGGUAGACCCCCGGGCGCUGGAGCAGGUAGACCCCCGGGGGGCUGGAGCAGGUAGACCCCGGGGCGCUGGAGCAGGGAGACCCCCGGGCACUGGAGCAGGUAGACCCCCGGGCGCUGGAGCAGGUAGACCCCCGGGCGCUGGUACAGACAUCCCUAGGGGUCCCCCAGGCGCUGGUGCAGGUAGAGCCCGGCCAGGCUGCUGAGCACCUGGCAGGCGGCCGUCCACCACAGCAGGAAGGACAGCAGGCC